CUUUCCUACGGGAGGCAGCAGUGAGGAAUAUUGGUCGAUGGGCGCGAGCCUGAACCAGCCAAGUAGCGUGAAGGAUGACUGCCCUACGGGUUGUAAACUUCUUUUAUAAAGGAAUAAAGUGAGGCACGCGCGCCUUUUUGUAUGUACUUUAUGAAUAAGGAUCGGCUAACUCCGUGCCAGCAGCAGCGGUAAUACGGUGGAUCCGAGCGUUAUCCGGAUUUAUUGGGUUUAAAGGGAGCGUAGAUGGGUUGUUAAGUCAGUUGUGAAAGUUUGCGGCUCAACCGUAAAAUUG
rnacentral:rRNA from 1 species